CAUUCACGGAGAGUUUGAUCCUGGCUCAGGACGAACGCUGGCGGCGUGCUUAACACAUGCAAGUCGAACGAUGAACCACUUCGGUGGGGAUUAGUGGCGAACGGGUGAGUAACACGUGGGCAAUCUGCCCUGCACUCUGGGACAAGCCCUGGAAACGGGGUCUAAUACCGGAUACUGACCCUCGCAGGCAUCUGCGAGGUUCGAAAGCUCCGGCGGUGCAGGAUGAGCCCGCGGCCUAUCAGCUUGUUGGUGAGGUAAUGGCUCACCAAGGCGACGACGGGUAGCCGGCCUGAGAGGGCGACCGGCCACACUGGGACUGAGACACGGCCCAGACUCCUACGGGAGGCAGCAGUGGGGAAUAUUGCACAAUGGGCGAAAGCCUGAUGCAGCGACGCCGCG
rnacentral:rRNA from 1 species